GAGCUCACUCACCUCGUUUAGACAGGUAAGCUGCAGUGAAGACGACCAGGUUCAUUCGCCCUUCUGUGGUAGUGUUGUGGAUCUGUUGAAGUAGCUAGGAGUUUGUCUUCAAACAUUGGCAACUGUCUCUACUGGGAUGAGAUGUGCUAGGCCAGCCAGUUCCGUGCCAGGCUGUCAGUGGUGUUGAGGUGUGUGUGUCCGGGCAAGGUGUGGCCUUGUUUGUGUCGGAGUGUGUACGCAGGACCAGGUUGUCUGUGUUGUGUUGCACACUGUAGAGCUGAAGGGAGUUGAUAGGACGCAUUUACACCCACAGGGGACACUGACAGAGGAUUACUGCUGUGGAUAAUUACAUUACAGAUUGGACAUCUUUACAGUGCACCUCGGAUGACCCUGCGAUGGAGCUUUGAUGAUAAUAUGACUCAGCUAUUCAUCCCGUCAUGUGUGGAUUGUGGGAGUCUCUGAAAUAAUACAGUGCAAUAACUAACUGAGGUUGUCACCAUACGAUGAGAGAUGUCUGUGAAAAGCUACAGCGGUUGGAGUGAUCACAGCAAUGGUACACACAGCGCAGCCGGCUCCCACUCCUACCUCCACAAUGACACCUACAGCAACAAAUACCAGGGCAGUAACGCCUGGUGGAGUGUCGGGGAGUUCCUCAAACCCGGACUAACCCAUCAGAGUGUUGGUCUCACACUCUCCAACAGCAGCAACGAUGAUGAGACUUGGGACCUCUCCGACUCCCUGGCCGACCUCUACAUGGAGGUCAGCCAGCGGGAACAUGAGGCGACAGAACGUCUUGGAGGUGGAAGGGACAGAAGGGAACAUCGCAAGGUGGAUAUUCAGGCAUGGCUGGAGAAGGAUACCAGUCAUGGCUGUAUUCGUGUGUUCAAUUCAGACUCGGAGGAGAAUUCGCGAUUGUUUCCCUGUACAAUAGCGACAACUGCUCAGAAAAUCUGUAUGCAGAUUGGGAUACCGAGCAACUCUCUGCAUAUUCAACAGAAUGGUGAUAUCAUUCGUCGUCUGGAACCGUUUGACUGUCCACUAGCAAUUCAGAAUGAGUAUCUCUCCAGCCUGGGCCUGACCGACAUUAAACGAGUGCAGGAGGAGGGCCCUGAUGAUGAUCUGUGUUACCUGGUCAAGUUCUAUGCAGGCAAGCCAAUCUCUGACAGCACAUACUCCCGGAGUCAGCUGUCCUCCUAUGCCUACCUCCGCAAGGGGAAGUUACUCCACCAGUGGGUGCGGCGACUGUGUGUCAUCACUGGAACCAGACUACUUAUAUACAGAGAUCGCAAUGCCAAACCUACAGUUGUCCAGUUGGCGAAAGGCUCUGUGGAAGAAGUGCAGGUCAAAGGUCAGGAACACUGUCUGAAGCUAACAUCGACCAUCCAGGGUGAGAGGUCGAUCUACAUCUCCUUCAUGAAUGCCGGAGAGUACAACAAGUGGAUCAAGAAGGCGAAAAAGGCAACAUCCAAGCUUCCAACCAAGGCUGACUUGUCCAACUGCCAUUUGGAGUUCCUGCCAGAGACAGUCUUCAUCAACGAUGACCUCGAGAUCCUCAUCCUGAGGCACAAUGUCCUGCGAGAACGGCCCAUUGAGGAGGACAUCUACACAAUUGGAUGGCUGGAUGAUUUGCCAAGGUUCACCCACCUCCGAAGUCUCAACCUGGCAGACAAUGGUUUGGUCAACUUCCCCCAGGCCGUUUGUCGGAUGCGAACCCUGACUGAGCUGAAUGUUGCUAGCAACAAACUGGAGGAGGUCCCCUCCCAAAUAUCAGACCUCACCAACUUACAAGCACUACAUCUUCACAAUAAUAGACUGUCAUCAUUGCCGGAGGAAAUAGCUCAAAUGAAGAGACUCGUUGUCAUUGUGCUGGCAUUCAAUCGUUUUACAUUUAUUCCCAGUGUGUUGUGUCAGUCGCAGCAUGCAUCAUACAAACUGGACAGCCUUAUCAUGGCAGGAAACCAAAUAUCACGUUUACCCACAGACUACUUAGACCAUAUGACCCACAUCAAAAAGAUUGAUCUCAGAAUGAACAAACUUCAACUUCUCCCGACAGAAACUGCUCGGUUUCAGUCACUAGAUCAUGUGACUCAUCUUGACAUUCGAGACAACGAGAUCAUCGACCUGGACAUUCGUGCAAUUCGUGCUCUGGAGUAUUUAAACUGUGAACGGAACAUGAUUCGAAGCCUUCAGAUCAAUGGAUCAUCGUUAAAGAACAUCUUUGUUUCACAUAAUAAAAUUGAGAGUAUUUCCAUCAACCCCAAGCCUGAGUGGCUUGUUUCUAUGGAUGUGUCCUAUAACCAGCUCAAAGAGGUUCCCACAUGGCUGGGUGACUGUUUCUUCCUAGUACGACUGGAUCUGAGCCACAACAACAUCGCUCGUCUACCUGACAGGAUGCUGACUGAUGCAAGGAAGCUGAAGAUCCUGCGUGUGAACCACAACCAACUGACGCUGCUGCCCGCGGACAUCAAGCACUGCCUCAUCGAGGAGCUGCACCUGGAGAGGAACCUCCUGACCCAGCUGCCUCCCGACCUCUUCAUCCGGGCCAACAAACUACGCUGCCUGAACCUUACAGGCAACUGUCUGGUGGAUCUGCCAGCACCGAACCGUAACGACACUUACAACAAGUUGCAGGAGCUGUACCUCACCUCCAACAGACUCACCAACAAGGCCAUAUUUAAAGUGUGCUGCUUCCCUCGACUCCGUGUCCUUCACCUCGCCAAAAACUGCAUCACAGAGAUCAAAGACAGUGAGUUCCAGAAGCUUGAGCAGCUCCAGGAGUUGAACGUGUCCUUCAACAGCCUCCGCUUCCUGCCCGUCUGUCUCAGCAGACACACCAAGCUCCAGGUCCUACGGGCCAACGCCAAUCUCCUGCAAGAGUUACCUAACUUCAGGAACUCUUCCAGUCUUAAGGUGUUGGAGGUUGGCACUAAUCGCCUGGAGAAUGUCAGCAUGGGCAACUUGAUGACAUCUAAGGUCAAUCUCCUUGACAUCUCUGGAAACCCAAAUAUCUUCGUCAAUACAGACGAACUGCAAGGAAUCAAGAAUGCCAAGAGAGUCUGUAUGAUAGACAUGCGAGGACAGAACCGGUCUCUUAACAAUGUCUCCGCAGUGGAGGCAGAACUCAGUUGGCAGAGUGGGUUUUCACAGACAUCAGGCAUGAGAAACAAGCUUUCAGUGGCAAUGCUUAAUAAAUCCAAGUUCAGCGAAGCUGGAGAUGCCCUGUUUGGGAUAUUUGAUGGUGGUCGUAAUGAUGAAGUUGCUAAACUGAUGAUUGAGUUGACACCAGCGAUUGUCGCGGAGGAGAAAGAGAAAAUGCCUACCCAGGAGGGUUUCCUGAAGUACACCAUGCUCUCAGCUCACAAGAAGAUCAAGUCAGUGGGGCAAAGAGUUGGAGCUGCAGCUGCCUUGGUACACAUACAGAAACACCCAAACCAUCAUGACCAAUAUUCCCUGUGUGUCGCCAGUGUUGGGGACACCGAGGUGGUGCUGUGUCGUCAAAACAGCCCCGUCUGUCUCACCCGUCAGUUCACUGUGUCACAUGACAAAGGAGAGUGUCAGAGAGUCAUUAACUCUGACGGUAUCAUCACAGAGGAUGGUCGUAUCAGUGGGGUGACAUUCAACACUCGACUGAUUGGCUGCAGCUACCUCUUCCCCCAGGUGAUCCCCAGUCCCCACAUCACAUCAACGACCUUGACUUCAGAAGACCAGAUGAUCAUCAUUGCCAAUCAAGGUCUCUGGCGAUACAUGUCACACCAGGAAGCUGUCCGUGAGAUCAAUGACAUCCCAGACCCUGUCAUUGCAGCCAAGAGACUGCAGGAUCUUGCUCAGGGGUAUGGAUCUCGGGAGAAUAUCGGGAUCCUGGUGGUGAAGCUCCUGCUGUCUGACGCAGAGAGGUUCCGGAUGAGUGAGAUACUGCGGACGCAGAUGCAGGGGCAGAAGCAGCUGCUGAACAAACUGCGUGAGCAGGCAAAUGUAACACAACUUCAUGCCAUACCUGCAGUGUCCGAGUUGGGUGGAAUUGUCAUCGACAAAGCAGGAAGAGUCAAGAAACAUAGAGGAGAGAGGCCAAGUUUAAGUGUUAAGCCAACACCUGCUCCAAAUAACAGGUAUCGGAAGAAGGAUGCAAAUCCAAACUGGGAGACAGUACUCCAGAAACGGUUGGCUGAUGAGGUGAAAGACAAGGAGAUGCAGGAGAUGUUCAAAAUCACAGAGGAAGAGGACAACCAGGAGGAAUUAGAGGAACCAAGAAGCAACUGGUCGACCCUGACCAAGAAGCGAGAGACAGCAUCAGAGAGCGCUGCUAUGAAUCAGAAGCAGAUGGCACAGAGAAAUCCCAUCCCUUCAGCCAACACUUCUGCAGUGAAGCCAAUGGUCCGGACAGCAUCCACAGACACCAUCACAUCACUAGAUGAGUUCUAUCGCCAGCCCAUUGUCACUGCAAACAUUGACAGAGAUGCCAUCCUGUUUCAUCAGAUGCAGAUGGCAAGAGCUCAAAGCAUCAGUUCAAGCAGCCUUGAUUCAACUCAAUCUGACCCCAUGUAUGCCUCAGUGAGGGAAGUGUACAGAGGUCCUAGAGCUCCAUCUAGGAGUAUUGAAGUGCUGGUACACACCCCGACUUCUGAUGAACAGAGGCUUCAACCAGUGCGUGUGCAUCGGCGACCAGAGAAGGCAGUAGCUCCUCUACAACUUGACCCUAAGAUGGAAAAGUCUGGGAAGGCUGAGGAUGACAUUGAUGCUAUUGAAUCUGAGAUCAUCGAAAGCUUCCAUGCCAGCAUAGAGGAUCUGUAUGCAAGAGUCAUGAAAAAGAAACAAAGUAUAAUGGAGAAAGACCUAAGUAAGGUGAACCUUGUUAAGUUCAAUGGCUCUGAUGACACUCUAGUUGGGGACUAUGAAGAAGUGUAUGUUCAGCAAAGCCACCCUCAUGGCCCAGGGUACCAGGAAGCAGUCACUGUCAUUGAUGACCUAACAGAUCUUGAUGACACCAUUGAUGCUGCUGAAGAUGAAAAUGGUGUUGGCAGCCAUCAAGAUCAGGGGGCGAGGAAACACUCCCCAACUCCUGCAGGUGUCACCAGGUUCCCUAGUCAACAGAGUGUCAUUAUCACAUACUUAUAGGACACUGUAUCAUUGCUACAUAUCACUUACUUAUAGAACACUAGGGUCAACAUUAUUACAUACUUUAUGUGCACACACACCUGCACCACCUUGGAGCAUACUAGACAUGUAUUUAGAAGCUUUAUAGGUGAUUAGGUAUGCUAAGUGUAAAUAUAUUCAACACCAUUUAAACCGAUUCAUUUGGUGAUAUGUUUUCCAAAAAAGAACAUGACCACAAAAUACACAUUGUUUCUCUGAUUAUAUUCAAAUUCAGUUUCAAUUAGAUGUUAACAUGUGAUUAUUAUUUGUUUCCCUCUUUUUACUAAAAACUUAUAAUACAUCCAUCCAUACUGGACACUUAUAUCCUUAUAGACCAUUGUGGUCAAUAUUGCAACAUAUCACAUACAUAUGGAACACUGUGAUCAAUAUUACAACAUAUCAUAUGCUUAUACUGAUUGAACACUGUGUUUGAUUUUGCAACAUUAUCCCAUUCCUAUUUGACACUAUUGUAGAUUUUGCAAGAAUAUGACUUUCUCAUAGUGCCUAUUGUAGAUACUGUAGCAACUCAUGAAAGAUGGUAGAUAGUGUGACUUCACUGCUUAUGUAUAGCAGACAAUGGUAGAAAAUACAUUAUCACAUACUUAUGGCACCAGAUGGUAAUUAUUGAAGCAUUAACACCUACUUACUACAUACAACACUACCUUAAAGCUCAUGUUAUAUAAUGCAACAACAUUAUAUCACAUUGUUGGAUACUGUAGCUCAAUGAGAAGCAUAUUUGUUUACAUAUUGUGUUCAGAUGAAAUGGCAUAUUGUAUAUAAAAGAUUUGUGAAAUGUCAUAACGUAGUUUGCAUAUAUAUUAAUGGAGGCACUGUCAAUUAUCAUAGUAGAAAUACAGUGCCACAUUAAACAUUAAUUUGAAUCAGUUCACAAAUUCUUUAGGAUAUUAAUAUGUGUUAUGGAGAAAACUUACACAUAAACCUUUUGCCCAGUGAUACAUGCGAUUAACAUAUGUAAGAGAUCAAUUAUUGUCUAUUUAUUCAAAGGCAUUUGUACAUGGUAUGCAUGUGUGAGGAUAAAUGGUAUAUAGAGGCACUAUGGUAAAAGCUAAUGAUGAGGGAAACUAUUUUGUCAUGGCAUCAUUGCUCUGUGAAAAACAAUGGUUCCAAGCUACAGUACCAGGUGGAACUUGGUCAUGGAAGCCUAGGUACCUCUGUAACUGAUCUACAGCACUUCAGAUUGACAGAGGGCUAGGAUACCUACCCCUGAAAACUAUAAGAAAAAAUCCAUUUCUGACCAACAUGGUCCACAGCCUUGUAUGAUUAAUACCUGACCCAUUUCUUUUUCUUUUAAUGGGUCACUUGAAUUGUUAGCAUGCACGCCAAUCUGAAGUUGAGGACAUUGUUUUACAAAGCAAUCUUUACGCUAUGACUGUCGUAAGUCUAUGUUAACGUAUGUGAGUUACAACUGUCCUCGCACUGAGGUCACUUUGUGGAAAAGGGGUGAUCGGGUAGCCUAGUGGUUAAAGCGUUCGCUCGUCACGUCGAAGACCCGGGUUCGAAUCCCGACAUGGGUACAAUGUGUGAAGCCCAUUUCUGGUGUCCCCCGCUGUGAUAUUGCUGGAAUGUUGCUAAAACUGGCGUAAAACCAAACUCACUCACUCACUCACUUUGUGGAACAGGGCCCUGAUUAGUAGUGUGACAUGGAUCAGCAUAAUAAAGAAUUGUCACACAACUGUCAAGGGCCUGUUUCCACAAUAUGAGGUCAUGGCUACAACUACAUGUACCACCUGUGUUAAGGUAUGAGUACAACAGCAAUAGGGGCUAGGAUUAGCUUGAUGAAGGUCGUCCUGGUCAAGAGAAACAUUUCAUUUGGAAUCAUAAUAACAGUUGGUUUUAUUGUGUCAUUGUGAUGCUUAUGAAGCAAGGCCAAAAUAUUUGUAAACUUGGUUAAUGAAUCCAACAUCUCGAAAUAUUUGAAUGUAAAGUUAAAAAUUAAAAGCAGUUUGUUUUCAUUCUGCCGACAAGAACAGCUAGCUGUUUUAAAAAAACUCUUAUCAAUACGGAUAGAUUAUUUACAAUACGAUAAUUAGAACAUGUUAAAAAAAUUAUCUUAUAAACUUCAAAACAUAACAUCUUGUGACGAAUCACAAGAAGAAAUACAAAAUAUAUAUUUGUAAUUGGACUUUUUAUAUUUAUGUUUUUUCAACCUACAGACCUGACAUUUUGGGGUAAAAAAUGAAACAAAAAUGUCUGACCAUACCAUGUCAAUGACCUGAAAUGAUGCAUAUCAUUAUUGAUCCAGACGAUAGGAUUGUACAAGUAACACAUUAGUGCUAUUAAGUAUUGAAGCAUUCUUUUUGUGUGACAUAUGACAGUUCCAAUUUUAUAUGUACAUACAACAUAGCUGAAGAGUAUGUCUUUAUAUGUCUUUGUUUGUCUAUGUUUGUAUGAUUUUGUGUCUGAUGUUAAUCAAAUUGUCAAAACAUAGUGAACACUGUUUAUGAUAAAUAUACUCCCGACUAACAGAUGUACAUAUAUGCUUUACAGGACUUUUAACAGAUCACAGACUGACAUAAUUUUCCAUAUAUGUAUGGAGUUAGUAGUGUACAUUUUAAUUAUAUCACACUGACCUUAGGUUAUUUCAUGACCAUGUAUAUAUUCAUAAGAUGGAUACGAAUAUGAGCUUGAGCAUAUUUUACUUGAAAACAUUUUUAAUAUCUAUGUAAUUGUCAGUUUCAAAUAUUGAACAAUUAUACUCCAACAUACAGUGAUACCUUGUUUGUCCAGAAGUCCUGUCAUCUGGACAAUUAUGGAUGCAAGCAAAUCAUUUACUUUUAACACAAAUUAACAUUUUUUAUCCCUUUUUUUAUCCAGAAAGAAAUAUUAAUAAUUUGGCAAAAUUUUUCUCAACUAUAUGGACAGUCAUUCAAUGGACAGCAACAUUACAAGGCCCAGCUGACUUUUUUAUUUUUGUCACUCGGUGAACAUAUCCAUGGUUCAGUGAUCAGCUUAAAGGUAGUUGUGUAAUGAUAUGGGGAUAUAGUAUUGUAUCAUGAUAUGAUGGCCACAAUACCAUACAUUGAUAUAUGACAACUGUAUUGCUAUUCAUAUGAUACAUUUCAUUACGUGUUAAUAUGACGUAAAAAUAUGUGAAUAAUAACAGAAACUGUUCCAACCACCUGCUUCUGCAGAUUCCCUAGUAUUUCAUGGUUGGAUAUAAAUAGCAUAACAUUCACAGUGCCUCUACCAAUAUGUUUCUGCCCAUCCCACAGUAUCCCAUCUUUGAUCUCUAAAAUUUAAUAACAAUUGAUUCAGGGUUGUGAUUCACCUGCAAAAGGAAAGACUAUCAUCUUGUGAAAAAAAAGUUCUGUAUUGGAGUACAAAUCGUUUCGCACCCAUAGUAUCGGGAUAUAUAUCAUAUCAGAACCCACUGUAUCGUUACACCGCUACUUAAAGGACUGGUAUCCUAACUGACCUGCUUCUACUAAAUACAGAAAACCGAUGAUAUACUAAAUUGUAAAAUGAUUGGGAAUAGGUGCUGUUAUCUGAUUGGUUGAAAUAGAUGAUUAAAGGGGAUUUGAAGCCCAGAAAUCUCCUGAUUGCAUGUAGUCGUCUGUUUCUCCAAAAUUCAUAUCUCCAUAGUCCAAACAAUUUGAAGUUAGGAGCAAGCAGUAAGAAUUCUUUACACCACGACUGCAGAAUCUUGUGUUAUACCAUUCCAUGACUGUAGGAACUGGUGUUUAUACCCAGGUGGAGAAUCUAGUGUUAUACCAUACCAUGACUAUAGGAACUGGUGUUUAUACCCAGGUGAAGAAUCUAGUGUUUAUAUCCAUCUGCAGAAACUAAUGAUAUGACAUAUUUGCAGAUGCUAAAGUUGAUACCACUGCUGCAGUCCCAAGCGUUAUAACUCAGGCAAUAACUAGUAUUUAUAACACAGUUGGAAAAAUGGAAAUGCAUAGAUAAGAAUAUCUGGUUGUCAGUCGAUCAACCCGAUUUCUUUUAUCCUUUCCCUUGUGAUAGAAUGAUAUAGGUAACCAGUUCUCUGAAGUAUGUAUCAUUCAGUGCAUUUGUAUGUGGACAUUAGCAGCUGUAUUGUCAUGCAGCGGGGCAUGUGGGUUUCAGUGCAUAGCAAUCCAAGACCAUCAACUCUUACUUGGAUAUGUGUAAUUGAUGAUGAAUUCUGUGACAAUUACCCUCUCCUUAACAUUAAGUUUCAGACAUAACUUUCAUAUUAGGACCCAAACCUUAUAACAGUAUUUAUGUUAACAUGUAGUGUUUAGUGAAUCAUGGACUUGCAGAUUAUUUCUGUAAACAAGUUAAAUGUGUCUGUACUAACUAGUGUUGGGAAUUAGUUGUAAAAUCAUGAUUGAUGAUUAGAUGAUCCCAAACGAUCGAUCAUCCAAAUUAAUCAAUUAGCUCAUUUUGCUGUUUUUUUAUAUUAUGUUCAGUAAAACGAGAUCACACCUAACAGAAACAAAUACUUAUUUCAGCACUUUACCUUUAGACAAAACACUACUGGACGCAUUCUUUCUCAAAAGUACUAUGUAGGAUGUAGUGAAUAAUCCUUCUCAGAAAAUAAAUCUCUUUUCAGUGUUAUAGAACACCAACACAAUAUAUUAUAAUCUAUUUUAUUGAAGGAUAGAACAGUUGAGAACUUGAGAGGCAGUGUUUGUUUAUAGAAAAUUAUGGUUGCUUGAUCGUUUGGACCUUCUGAUCAAUCUUUGAUUAUUUCACUUAAUAAGAACACCACUGGCACUAACAUCAUUAUAAACACCAGGUUAUGAUAUAUUGUACUGGAUGUAUUCUGAUUUUAUUGAUGUUGUAUUUGACAAAGAUGGUUGAGUUUCAUUCUGCUAUCUCUAAAACAGCAUAUUCUGAUAAUAUUGUUCAUAAUUGUUAUCAUUGUUUUUUCUAACCAUGUAAAUAUCAUCAUCAACACCAGUAAAUAACCAGUCUCAGUUAUCCACUGAAACAGAUUCCAAUGAGCAUAAAGGACAAAAUAGCGUGAAAACUAUAUGAAAUGUAUGCAUCCAGGGAGUUAAAUGUUGGCCUUAAAUAUUUCAGUGCAUAGUGUUGAAAUACAGUUGAUUUCAGAUAUAACAGUCAGAUAUAAUAAAGGAUAGAUAUAAGAUAAUUGUCCACAAGGUCCAAUGUCAGUUUUUAGAAUAUUUACAUGUAACGAACCAGGAAAAGUGAUGUGAGCUAAAUCAGUUCCAGUGUUAUCAAGGUCUUUUGUAUUAUUUUUAUUUUAUUAAUUAAAUCGGAGUCUGUUAUAUACAGCACAGACUGUAUCAACUGUCAGUGGCUUAUUUCUCAUGCAUUUCCUUUUAAUUACUUGGUUUUCAGAAGCACUGACCAUAAAUAUCACAAACUAACCUCUUCACUUUCAACAAUUCUUUUAGAAAUAUCUUUUGUAAACCAGCAAUAUGUAAACCAAAUAAUCAUAAAGAGAUUUCUUAAUUAACUUGUAAUAUCAAAAUGCAUUUGGGAAGAAUAAUAUGAAUACGAAACGUCUUUAAUAUGAGGAACACAACGUUUCGGAGUAUAUGCUUACCCCUUCAUCAGAUGAAUGAUAAAGGAUUAAGCAUAUAUUCCGAAAUGUUGUGUUCCUCAUAAUAAAGAAUUUGACAUCCAUAAACUCUCUUCCUAACUUCUAAAUGCCUUUAAAAAAAUAAUUAUAAAUAAAUUCUUAAAUUAACUUGUAAUAUCAUAGUGCAUUUGGAAGAAUAUAGAAAUAUUGAUAAGUAAGCAGUAAAAUAAAUAUGUUGAAGUGAGCACUAUUAUGUAAUACUGCUCACUUAAGAACAUGUAUUCUAUUAGAUGCACUAUGAUAGUAUCAAUCCAUAAUGUACUAGUGUGUAAUUGUUAUUUACUUCAAACAGCUUCCUCCCAUGUACACCUAUUUCUUCAGUGCCUCCAGACCGACCAUUAUGCAUUAACCGCCUCAUAGAUUGUAAUUACAUACACAAACAGGUGCUAUGUUCAACUUGCUGUACAUAAUGUAUGAUAUGCUUCAUAGACAGAUGUGUAAAUAAAGUAUUUGUGUAUA
rnacentral:misc_RNA from 1 species